GGGGCCAGGCGACUUCGAGAAGAGUCGCCGAUUGUAAAUGCGUGUUGAAAACGGGUGCGCGUUAAUUGGCGCCACGGCCGCAAGAUGGCGUAAUCCAUGCGACGCUGCUUUUGACGUUCGUGUAUGAGUUUUUUUUUUGGUUCCUUCUACUUUGAAAACGGCAGGAAGCAAAAAUUGUUAGCACGGUGUUUAGUAUUCGCUGAUCUGACUGAGGAUGUGGUGGAAAAAGUUACGUACGGUAGCGACGAUUCAACCGACUAGGAUCCCGAUUUCGAGUACAUAGUACGCGAGGCGCACGAGGUCCCGCGAUUGGCCAGUUUAUGAGACGACGAUGGCUCCGUGAGGAGAGAACAUGGCUGCGACGCAAGCCGAGAGCCAACAAAACGAUGUGAAGCUGAACGAGUCCGUGAAAUGUGCACAGAAACGUCCGCAAGUCGGUGGGAAUAGUGCGAGUGUUAAUACGAAACAGCAGCUGGAUCCAGAGCCGGGUGAUAAAGUGUCCCGGGGCGCGGCCCAGCUGCUUAAAUAUGUGAAUCGCGGCGGGGACACGGGUUUCGAGAUGAGUCAAUACCGCGAGGACAUUGGUGGACACACUGCCGGUGAAGUCAAAUCGCCAAGGGAGGCUGGACAAGCGCCCCAGGAGACGAUCGGCAAGCAGGAGGCUCUCGAUACGCCCGGGCAUCCGAACCAUCCCGGACAUCCGUUCACGUCGAACGUAAUACGCGAUUACCCGGAGGAGUACACCAACAAGUCGAACGAAUUUCCCUCCAAAUCACUUGCCGAUUAUCCGGGCAAGCAGGUGCCGGAGUACAUGGGAAAGCAUGGUGACUUCCCGGGGAAACAGUUGGAUUAUCAUGGUAAACACUUAAUACAUGAAAGUGAAAGAGUUCAUCGGGUCGAGAUGGAAGAGCAUUAUGCACCUUCCAAAAUUGAGUCGCGAUUGGCGUACGUAGGAGCAACGCCGACCAGUUUCCCUGGCCAGACGAGGUUUCUGUCAGGGCAAAGUAUAUCCCAGGCAACUGGUCCAACACCCACGUUGAAUCAGUUGCUCCAAGCAUCGACGCCUGUCCACCGUUUUCAUGGGAAUUAUCCUGGAAUGGGGCCAGAGCCUUAUCAACAACCGUGGCCCAUUCAGCGACCACCGGUUGUACCGCCAGUUUAUCCACAACCUGGCCAACGUCCCCCUCAGACGGGGUCGCCAAGAUUACAUGCAGGACCUGGAGGACCAAGUUCUCCAACUCCUAUGCCAUAUCAACAAUAUACGCCACGUUAUUCUUCUCCUACAAGACCUCAUGCACCAUACAGCCACCAUCAGCUAAAUUCAUAUACUACACAAACCAGCCAUCCUUCCAGUCUGUACACUGAACAGAGAGGUUGGAAUCAAGGUGGACCACCGAAUCCACCACCACCUUCAGCCAAUCAGACUAAUCCUUCCAGUCAGUCGCCACAGCGCGCUCUUUCUCAAUCCCCAGCACCACCACCUUCUGCAUCUCCACAGCCACAAUCAACUAGCCAGUCUCAAAGUUUUCAUAACUUACAGCAACGAUCAACAACACCAAAUACUCAAGGGAUAGACUCAGGGGAAUUAUCUGGACAAAACAGUAACGAUAGUUCGAAUGGACCUGCUUGUCCAGGAACACCAAAUUCACAGGGGAUGAGACCAACCCCUUCUCCUACAGGAUCUACAGGUUCUCGCUCAAUGUCCCCUGCUGUUGGUCAACAAAACGUUCAGAUGCCUCCACGUCCGUCAAGUAGCCAGUCAGAUGGUAGUGGACCAGCACGAAUGAGUCAUUCUCCUAUGACAACUCAAGGACCAUACCAGCAGCCACUGGGUCCUUCACCACACAUGCAUAGCUAUAAAAUGAAUAGCACUGGUCCUGGUGUUGUUCAACCAGGACCUGGUUCUGCGAGCCUUGGUGGAAUAAACCCAAUGGGUGGUGGUAUGGGAUAUGCAGCUAGUGGAACGGCUGCAGGUCAGCCUGGGGGUUAUCAUACGCAAGGUACCUAUCCACCUCCACGUCCACAUGUACAAUUUCCGCAAGGAUAUCCAUCACCGGCCAAUUCACAACCACCACCCAACAAUCAGUAUCAAGCUUCUAAUAGACCCAACAAUUUGGUGCAAUAUCCUCCAUAUACACAUAAAAUGGGAUUUAAUAGUGUACCACCAGGAAUGCCACCUAGUCCAGGGCCACCUCAAGUUUAUGGAAGUACUAGUACAUCAGGCAUGGUACCACCAGGUACUCCUGGAGUGGCGGUGAUCGGUAAUAUGGGUCCACCAGCAAGUUCAAUGGGCCCUCCACCGCCAUCGCCUAACCACGUUAGUAAUCAGCCACCACCUACCAGCUCGGCUGUACCACAUUUGCAUACUCCUGCGGCUACACCACCUCUCAAUCACGAAGGAAGUCCAAUGCCUCCACCGAGUACCACACCUAAUUCACAUCCUGUUUCAACACCGACAGCAACCAGCCAUAGUUCUGCAGAUCUUACUACUGAAACUUCUAAUGAUAGUGGCAUAACUACUACCGCUUCAGGUACGUCAGUUAUAAAUGUCACCUCUACUUCAAGUGGCACUGUCACAUCCGUAAUAACAACUGGCCCCGAUGGUACGUCCUUGGACGAAGGUUCUCAACAAUCAACAUUAUCAAACGCAUCAGCUGCUUCUGUAGAAGAUCCAACAUUUCCACCGAAGGUACGGAAAGAUAUGAUGGGAGGAUAUCAUAGUCAUCCAGCUACGCCACAGAGUACGGUUCCGUCACCUGGCGCUGCGAGUAUUAAUUCGAUACAUGAGGAAUAUCCUGAUAUGAACAGCCCUGGUUGGCCACGUACUCCUGCUAGCCCUGUAUUUAACAGUCAUGUGCCUCAAGACCCAUACAGAUCUAAGAAACCAGACAGUUUAGCAAAGCUAUAUGAAAUGGACGAUACAAUGGAGCGAAGAACAUGGUUGGAUAAAUUAGUUAACUUCAUGGAAGAACGAAGAACUCCUAUUACUAGCUGUCCUACCAUCUCCAAGAACCCCCUCGACCUAUUUCGGCUAUACCUCUACGUGAAAGAGAGGGGGGGCUUCAUGGAGGUAUGCAAGGUGACCAAAAACAAAACGUGGAAAGACAUAGCUGGAUUAUUGGGCAUUGGUGCAAGUAGCAGCGCGGCGUAUACACUACGGAAACAUUACACCAAGCAUUUGUUAGCGUACGAAUGCCACUUCGACCGUGGUGGUGUCGAUCCUCAGCCUAUCAUAAAUCAAGUUGAAGCUGGUUCGAAAAAGAAACCUUCGAAGGGAACUGCCUCCGUACCCUCACCAGGGUCUUCCAAUUCACAAGAUUCCUUCCCUGCUGCUGGGUCAAACAAUGCUUCCAUGGAUGGUUAUGGAAGUUACCAGAGUGGCUACACCAGCAGUACACCAGGAGGACCUGCAUCAGAGUAUACACCUCCUCCUCCGAGACCACCUAGUCAGAGUAGUGCACCUACUCCGCAUCAAGGUGGUUUGAACCAGGGCGGGCAGAAUAGCACGAAUCCGUUCGACGACGGCGUGGGACGCCUUUUUCGCAAGUCGAACGCAACGCCCCACCCUGGUCCGUUACGAGCCUCAGGCAUCCAACAAGGCAGUUACCAGAAUACAGGUUCCUACCAGAAUUAUCCCCAGGAUCAGUACAGCCGGCCGCAACCGAACACGCUGGCUCAGCAGGGUGAAUUCAACCAGCCUUAUUCACCGCGGUCACAUUAUUCACCUUACGUACCAGACGUUGACAGAGGAUACCCUGGGGGAAAUUUGCCGCCGAACAAUGCUAGUGGACAAGAUAUAUACAAUAGAUAUAGUAGUAGUCAACAGCCAGCAAAUUACUCGGCAAGUACACCACCUAAUGCAAGAAGUAAUAGCUAUCCGUCUACGCCACAAGCACAUCCACCUACUGUACCGCAACAAACAGCAACCAGCCAGCCUUCUUCACCUUCGCAGCCUCCUGCUGCUUCGUCUUAUUCUUGCCCCCAGGACUAUUAUCGACCAGAGCAGGGUGGAUAUGGAGGAACACAGAUAUACUCAGGCGGUGCGAAUGCGAAUAAGAAUAUGCCGCCGCCACCGCCCGGUCCAAAUCCACCUAGACGUCACCCAGAUUUUGCCAAAGACCAACAAUAUCCUCAAUAUAAUCAACAACGACCAGCGUAUCCAGGAUGGCCAAAUACAACUAACCAGUACAAUAGUAGUAGUGGAAACAAUAGAGUUCAGUAUCCAUCUCAACAGCCACAGUCUCAGUCGCAACAACAACCGCCACAACCACAACCGCAAACACCACAGUCUGCUUCUUCUACACCCUCGCCAGGACUUCCCAGUAGUCAACAGUGGGGUAGUCAGCAACCAAAUAGAACCACGCCUCAACCGACUUUGAACACUAUAGCUCAUGCUCCUCCACCGUGGGAUCAUCGUUACACGAAUCAACCGUCCCCUCUUUAUCCUGCACCUGGAAAUCACCAGAAUCAGCUUGGUAUAAAUCCCAUGAUUACCCAGCAACCAACAUCGAAAAGAGAAAUGACAUUCCCUCCUGACAGCGUGGAAGCUGUGACCCCACUUCUCUACAAACGGCGGAAACUUACACGCGCCGACGUAGCACCGAUAGAAGCUUGGCGCAUCAUGAUGGCCCUGAGAUCAGGCUUAUUAGCCGAGAGCUGUUGGGCCCUCGACGUAUUAAAUAUUUUAUUGUUCGAUGAUUCUUCUGUAAGUUAUUUCGGGUUGGCACACUUACCUGGACUGUUGGACGUUCUUCUGGAACAUUUCUCGCGUUCUCUGUCCGACAUGUUCGAGUCGCCAGUGAACGAGGACGAUCGAAAUUGGAAUCAGUCGGCGGACGGGCCGGAGGUGGAUCUCGGUUCAGUGACACGUCCCAUCGAUCCGGAGGAUCGAACGAAGCUACUCUCCUCGGCGAAUUAUACAUUUCUGUCGAGACGUGGUCGUCCGGUGAAGAUCGUUCCUAGGGACGACGAUCUGUUUGUCCUCGACACGAGAAGGUCGUGGGAUCACCAAGACUGCGAGUCGGAAACCGAGCCGUGGCAAGUCGACAACAACACCACCAAGUACAUAGUGACCUGUUUUCAAUCAGAGAUAGGAUCGGUGCCGUUCGCUCGCCUCCUUCGAGACGAGAAGCCGCCGUUGCUGCAGAAGGAAGUGGAGUGCACAGACACGAUGAAAGACGAAACCAAAGCAGAUCCUGGUGCGCUCGACGCGUCCGAGUUCUCUCAGAAGAUGAUGGCCGAGCCCGGUCCGUCGAAGGAGAUGAACGAGAAGAAGCAGCUGGACAAGAAGAAGAAGACGAAGACGCUGAGCGACGUGUUGUCGAGGAUCAAGAAGGAGCCGGUGGAGAUGAACGAUCUGACGAGGGAGCUGUUCGAGAAGAAGAACGACGGGUACAAGAAGGAGUGCGAUACCGAGACGACGACAACGAUGACGACGAUGACGACGACGAAAGUGAACAACAACAUGGGCGAGCAUUUCGCGGACGUGCAGAAACCGGAGGACGAGCUAGCGCCGAUGCAAAACGGUCUGACUGACGCGACUGUGAACGCCGAGACGACGGAGAAGACGGUGGAGGUGAAAGUGGAGAACGAGGACGGGCAAGAGUCGACGGUGAAGGACGACACGAAGGAGGGACCAAGAUUAAAUAUAAGGGAUCCGGCAGGCACGUUGAAGAGAAGACGGAUAAGCGACUACGAGGACGAGAGUUACUCGAGGGACGAGGCGAGCCUGUACCUCGUCACGGAGACCCAGGACAACCUGGCUCGACGUUGCGUCUGCUUGUCCACCAUCCUGAGGAAUCUCACGUUCAUCCCGGGCAACGAGGCCGAGUUCGCCAAGAACGUGACGUUCUUGAGCCUCCUUGGCAAGCUGUUGCUGCUGCAUCACGAGCACCCGGUGAGGACGCAGAAGACGCGCAACUACGACCGCGAGGAGGACGCCGAUUUCGCGGACUCUUGCAGCAGUUUGCAAGGCGAGAGCGAAUGGUGGUGGGACUUCUUGCAUCACAUCAGAGAAAACGUGCUAGUGAUGGCGGCGAACAUCGCCGGCCACAUGGAUCUGAGUCAACAUCCAGAGGAGAUCUCGCGACCGGUGUUGGACGGUCUUCUCCACUGGGCGGUGUGUCCGGCUGCCCACGGACAGGACCCAUUCCCCACCGUUGGACCGAAUUCCUCUUUGUCGCCCCAGCGGCUGGCGCUCGAGGCUCUGUGCAAGCUCUGCGUGACGGAGUGCAACGUGGACCUGGUGGUCGCCACGCCGCCGUAUUCGAGACUCCAGAGACUAUGCUCGGUACUGACCAGGCUACUAUGCCGGAGUGAGGAGCAAGUGUUACGCGAGUUCGGCGUGAACCUUCUCCACUUUUUGUCCGCGGCGGACAGCGGUGUGGCGCGCACGAUCGCCCUUCAAACGCCCUGCGUCGCGCUGUUGGUCGCGUUUAUCGAGCAAGCGGAGUCGAGCGCGCUCGGCGUCGCGAAUCAACACGGAUUGGCCGCGCUACGCGACAAUCCCGAGUCGAUGGGCACCAGCCUGGACAUGCUGCGACGCGCCGCUGGCACGCUGCUGAACCUCGCCAGGCAUCCCGAUAACAGAACUCUGCUGUUGCAACACGAAUCACGGUUACUCGCCUUGGUGAUGAGUCAAAUUCUAGAUCAGCAGGUUGCCGCGAUCGUUGCUCGUGUGUUGUUCCAGUGUUCCAGGGGCACGUAAUUUCGUUUCAUUUUUUUCAAACGGACGGUAUAUUUCACUUUUUUUUUUUUCCUUCUUCGUUCUUGAUUGAUCCGCGGGUGUUUGUUUGUUUAGCCCCUUUUGUGCAAAAAGUGAUGAUGAUGAUGAUGAUGAUGAUUAUGAUGAUAAUGAUGAUGAUGAUGAUGAUGAUCAGUUUUUGUUUCUUAAACAAAAAAGACACGGAGAGAACGAGAGAGAGGGAGAGAAAGAGAACGAGUGAGCGCGCGAGAGAGAACGAGAGAGACAGCUUGUAGAGAAAAAAAAAAAAGAACUGCUGUUGCUGCUAUUCAUUUGUAGGGAAUACGAGAACGAGAGAAUAAUUUGUUAGACAGGUAGCUAAAAAAGAAAAAGUAAAUGGAGUGUGAGUGAAUGACAAAGAGGAACGAGGAACGAGAGAGAGAGAGAGAGAGAGAGAGAGACGCGGGGAUUUAUAGAGUGCUCUAGAAAGGAACAAAGUGUCGAUAUAACAUAUAACGCCAUGUGGUUGUAGUUUUAUAUCGAGUAACAUAAAAGGAUAAAACAACAAAAAAACCCAGAAAAGUAAGAAAGUUAAUUAUCGGUGUUAGCCAGCUAAGGUGUACUGCGACGACGCUCGCGCGUGCACCGCCCACGCGUCGAGUAUGCCUUUCCUACUUGAUGAAGAAUCGGGAUAAAAUAUCGAUAGUGUAAGAUAUUUCAUAGUUAAUGAAAGAGAGGAAGAGGGUGAUUUUUCGCGCGUGAGGCGCGAGGACUUUUAAAGUACGUGAGCGUGACGCGAGGGAGGGGAGGGAAGGGGGGCGGGGGAGAAAGAGGGGAAAUAAUUGCGGAGAACUUGUGGAGAUAUUAAAAAAAAAAAAAAAAAUAACAAACGGGAUGUAGUGAUAGAAGGGGAAGUCGGGGAGGAAAUUAAAAAUGAAAAACAAAAAAAAAAAAACAAACAAAAACAAAACGACGAAACAAAGAUGUUAAAAAGAGGAGAGACGAGAGAAACGUUUAGCAGCAUAAUAAUAAUAUAUAUAUAUAUAUAUGAAGAGAAACGAGACGAUUGAGACAAAACUUUGAGAGAUUGAGAGAGAGAGAGUGAGAGAGGAAAUCUGUUUUGACGAACCUAAAAUAUGGUGCGAUGUGAAACGAUAAUAUCGGGUGACGAUUAUUAUAUAUAUAAAUAUUAACGAUAAUAUAAUGCAAAUUUUUAUAUUUGCAUGUUUUGUGCUGUAAUUAGCGAGUAAUUAAGAUAUUUUGUAGAUAACACACACUUCCAUUGAAUCUUAUUUCGAAUUUGCGCCGCGCCGUGUGAUGACGACAAACAAAAGAGAGAGAGAGAGAGAGAGAGAGAGAGAGAAAGAGGGAGAAAAUGGAAGAUUGAGAGAGACAGUUUUCACAACAAUGUACUAAAGCAAAAUACAUCCUGAGGAAGAGGAUGGUGAGGAACAGGGAUUGUGGUGUCACUUCGGAUCCAAGCUCUCGAUCACGUCAUUCAAACAAAUUCCAAUUGGAUGUAUUUAUAACCGUGAAGCUCUUAUGCUUUUCAAAGCGCAUAUGUUAUUGUAAACAAGAGGAGAGGAAAAGAAAACUAACGAGUACUAUUCCCCCCAUUGUCAGCUUUUUGCACAUAUUUCGACGGUUCUUGCAUAUACAUUUAUCUAAUGUAACAGGAAGAGAGAAACAGAGAGAGUGAGAGUGAUGUGUGUAUGUGUGUGAGAGAAAGAGAGAGAGAGAGAAAGGAAAGAAAGAAAACGAGAAAGACCACUCUCAAUUUUGAAUGCCCGCCGAAACGAACGACAACUUGUGUAUUCGAUUUCGUCGUCGCACACCUUCUAUGUCGGUACUUCCUUUUCUCAUUUCGUAGAAACGGAUUUCACACACGUGGGGGGGAAAAAAAAAGAAGUGAAGAGUAACUUGGUGUUUCGGUUUCUCAUGAGGGUAGCAUAUGUAAAGUUGAAAGAAAAAAGAAGGAGAGAAGAAAAAAAAACCUGGGGAAAAAAGUGAAAACGAUCUAGAUACGACUUUGUUUGAGGGAUAAACAAGUGAGGAGAGAAAGAGAAAGUGAGAGAGAGAAGGAGAGAGAGAGAGAAAAAAAGGAGAAUAGAAGAAUACCGAUGAGGUAAAAAAAAAAAAGAAAAAAAAAUAAUACAUUAAAACAGAACACUUUCCCUAAUCCCAGCUUCUCCCUGACCCCAAAGUAUCCUACUCUAUAGAUAUCUAAAUACGUGUAGUUCUUAAAUUAUUUACUUUAGUUCGAGUGGAGAUGCCUGUAAGUGUAAUUUACUAAGACUUUUUGUAAAUAAAUUAUGAAAUAAACUAGACGUACUUUAUCCAAAUGAC